GGUCUGGGACAACAGUUGGAAACGGCUGCUAAUACCGGAUGUGCCUUAGGGUGAAAGGCUUGCUGCCUGAAGAUGAGCUCGCGUCCGAUUAGUUAGUUGGUGUGGUAAAGGCGCACCAAGACGGCGAUCGGUAGCUGGUCUGAGAGGACGAUCAGCCACACUGGAACUGAGACACGGUCCAGACUCCUACGGGAGGCAGCAGUGGGGAAUUUUCCGCAAUGGGCGAAAGCCUGACGGAGCAAUACCGCGUGAGGGAGGAAGGCUCUUGGGUUGUAAACCUCUUUUCUCAAGGAAUAAUAAGUUGAAGGUACUUGAGGAAUAAGCAUCGGCUAACUCCGUGCCAGCAGCCGCGGUAAUACGGAGGAUGCAAGCGUUAUCCGGAAUGAUUGGGCGUAAAGCGUCCGCAGGUGGUUUGUCAAGUCUGCUGUCAAAGAGUCUGGCUUAACUAGAUAAAGGCAGUGGAAACUGAGAGACUAGAGUAUGGUAGGGGUAGAGGGAAUUCCCAGUGUAGCGGUGAAAUGCGUAGAGAUAGAGAAGAGCACCGGUGGCGAAAACUCUCUGCUGGACCAUAAAUGACACUGAGGUACGAAAGCUAGGGUAGUCGAAUGGGAUUAGAUACCCCAGUAGUCCUAGCCGUAAACGAUGGAUACUAGGCGUUACGCGUAUCGACCCGCGUAGUGCCGUAGCCAACGCGUUAAGUAUCCCGCCUGGGGAGUACGCACGCAAGUGUGAAACUCAAAGGAAUUGACGGGGGCCCGCACAAGCGGUGGAGUAUGUGGUUUAAUUCGAUGCAACGCGAAGAACCUUACCAGGGCUUGACAUGUCGCGAAUUCCGGUGAAAGCUGGGAGUGCCUUAGGGAGCGCGAACACAGGUGGUGCAUGGCUGUCGUCAGCUCGUGUCGUGAGAUGUUGGGUUAAGUCCCGCAACGAGCGCAACCCUCGUACUUAGUUGCCAUCAUUAAGUUGGGAACUCUAAGAAGACUGCCGGUGACAAACCGGAGGAAGGUGGGGAUGACGUCAAGUCAGCAUGCCCCUUACGUCCUGGGCUACACACGUACUACAAUGCUAUGGACAGAGGGCAGCAAGCUAGUGAUAGCAAGCAAAUCUCAUAAACCAUGGCUCAGUUCAGAUCGCAGGCUGCAACUCGCCUGCGUGAAGGUGGAAUCGCUAGUAAUUGCAGGUCAGCAUACUGCAGUGAAUUCGUUCCCGGGCCUUGUACACACCGCCCGUCACACCAUGGAAGCUGGUAGUGCCCGAAGUCGUUACUCUAACUCGUAAGAGAGGAGGAUGCCGAAGGCAGGACUGGUGACUGGGGUGAAGUCGUAAC
rnacentral:rRNA from 1 species